rnacentral:rRNA from 1 species
UUCCGGUUGAUCCUGCCGGAGGCCACUGCUAUUGGGAUCCGACUAAGCCAUGCGAGUCGAGAGGGUUCGGCCCUCGGCAGACUGCUCAGUAACACGUGGAUAAUCUACCCUUAGGUGGAGGAUACUCUCGGGAAACUGAGAAUAAUACUCCAUAGGUCUAGGAUGCUGGAAUGCACCUAGGUUGAAAGUUCCGGCGCCUAAGGACGAGUCUGCGGACUAUCAGGUAGUAGUCAGGGUAAAGACCUGACUAGCCUACGACGGAUACGGGUUGUGAGAGCAAUAGCCCGGAGACGAUAUCUGAGACACGAUAUCGGGCCCUACGGGGCGCAGCAGGCGCGAAAUCUUCACAAUGUGCGAAAGCACGAUGAGGGGAUCCCAAGUGUUGGCUCGUAAGAGUCAUCUGUUUCUUUGUCUAAAAAACAGAGAGAGUAGGAGCUGGGUAAGACGGGUGCCAGCCGCCGCGGUAAUACCUGCAGCUCAAGUGGUGGCCGCUAUUAUUGGGCCUAAAACGUCCGUAGCCGGUUUAGUAAAUGCCUGGGUAAAUUGUGUAGCUCAACUAUACGAAUACCGGGUAGACUGCUAAACUUGGAACCGGGAGAGGCUAGAGGUACUCCUAGGGUAGAGGUGAAAUUCUGUAAUCCUAGGGGGACCACCAGUGGCGAAGGCGUCUAGCUAGAACGGGUUUGACGGUGAGGGACGAAGCCCUGGGGCGCAAACCGGAUUAGAUACCCGGGUAGUCCAGGGUGUAAACGCUGCUCGCUUGAUGUUAGUCGGGCUCCGAGCCCAACUAGUGUCGGAGAGAAGUUGUUAAGCGAGCUGCCUGGGAAGUACGGUCGCAAGGCUGAACUUAAAGGAAUUGGCGGGGAGCACACAAGGGGUGAAGCUUGCGUUUAAUUGAGUCAACGCCGG